UUCCGGUUGAUCCUGCCGGACCUGACUGCUAUCGGAUUGAUACUAAGCCAUGCGAGUCAUUGUAGCAAUACAAGGCAGACGGCUCAGUAACGCGUAGUCAACCUACCCUAUGGACGGGAAUAACCUCGGGAAACUGAGUAUAAUGCCCGAUAGAACACUAUACCUGGAAUGGUUUGUGUUCCAAAUGAUUUAUCGCCAUAGGAUGGGACUGCGGCCUAUCAGUUUGUUGGUGAGGUAAUGGCCCACCAAGACUAUUACAGGUACGGGCUCUGAGAGGAGUGGCCCGGAGAUGGGUACUGAGACACGGACCCAGGCCCUAUGGGGCGCAGCAGGCGAGAAAACUUUGCAAUGUGCGAAAGCACGACAAGGUUAAUCCGAGUGGUUUGUGCUAAACGAACCUUUUGUCAGUCCUAGAAACACUAACGAAUAAGGGGUGGGCAAGUUCUGGUGUCAGCCGCCGCGGUAAAACCAGCACCUCAAGUGGUCAGGAUGAUUAUUGGGCCUAAAGCAUCCGUAGCCGGCUCUGUAAGUUUUCGGUUAAAUCUGUACGCUUAACGUACAGGCUGCCGGGAAUACUGCAGAGCUAGGGAGUGGGAGAGGUAGACGGUACUCGGUAGGAAGGGGUAAAAUCCUUUGAUCUAUUGAUGACCACCUGUGGCGAAGGCGGUCUACCAGAACACGUCCGACGGUGAGGGAUGAAAGCUGGGGGAGCAAACCGGAUUAGAUACCCGGGUAGUCCCAGCUGUAAACUAUGCAAACUCAGUGAUGCAUUGACUUGUGGUCAAUGCAGUGCUGCAGGGAAGCCGUUAAGUUUGCCGCCUGGGAAGUACGUACGCAAGUAUGAAACUUAAAGGAAUUGGCGGGGGAGCACCACAAGGGGUGAAGCCUGCGGUUCAAUUGGAGUCAACGCCGGA
rnacentral:rRNA from 1 species